UACUUGGAGCUUUACUUUACAGCUGCCCAGC
rnacentral:piRNA from 1 species